GUAGGUGGCAAGCGUUGUCCGGAAUUAUUGGGCGUGAAGCGCGCGCAGGUGGUUCUUUAAGUCUGAUGUGAAAGCCCCCGGCUCAACCGGGGAGGGUCAUUGGAAACUGGGGAACUUGAGUGCAGGAGAGGAAAGUGGAAUUCCACGUGUAGCGGUGAAAUGCGUAGAUAUGUGGAGGAACACCAGUGGCGAAGGCGACUUUCUGGCCUGUAACUGACACUGAGGCGCGAAAGCGUGGGGAGCAAACAGGGAUUAGAUACCCUGGUAGUCCACGCCGUAAACGAUGAGUGCUAAGUGUUGGGGGGGUUUCCCGCCCCUCAGUGCUGCAGCUAACGCAUUAAGCACUCCGCCUGGGGAGUACGGUCGCAAGACUG
rnacentral:rRNA from 1 species